UGUGUGUGUGUGUGUGUGUGUAUAUAUAUAUGUGUAUGUGUAUAUAUAUAUAUAUAUAUAUAUACACACACACACACACACACA